UCUUCAGAUGCAUCUGUUAGUCUCAAAGGUGCCACAGGACCCUCUGUUGCUUUUUACUGAUUCAGACUAACACGGCUACCCCUCUGAUACUUUUUCAACAGAAACUCUCUUGAACGGCUGCUGGACUGCAAGAGGAGUGUGAUCUGUUUAGCAUGGAACCAGUAACUUUAAAUUGCAUUUCAUCACCAGGCCAAGGCCCAAACACACAUGGGGAAAAACAGAACAAGUAUGUGCCUGCAACACUUUAUCCUGUAGUAGAAG